CCACCCCCAGUGAAAUCUUGGCACCCUGCAAGUGCUCCGUUUCAGCCAGAGAUCCCAGAACCAGCCGCUGUCCCCUGGCAGAAGAGGCCCAGUGCUGAGCCCUGGGCAAGUGUCUGCAGACAUCGCCACCCCUCCUCCCUUACUAGUUUCCCUUACCAACAGAAACCCUUUCCUUUUGCCACCCAAACUAGGUCGCCUCCAAAAGUUUCUCACGAGCUUAGAAAAGAAGAAUGAAAGACAACUCUUAACACAGAAGAGCCCACAAAAGCUACAGCAGCACCAGGGGUGAUGAAGCAGCAACAGACCCAGGUCUGCAAGACAGAGCCGGAAACAACUCCUCCCAUCAUUCAUGGGAGAAAAUGAAGCUCUCUACUGGCCUCUAUCAGAGAAGCUAAAAAUUUCCCUCUUUUCUGCAAGUGUCCCAAACCCCAUGACUCUUAUUUCCAGGUAGAGAGACUGAUUUGAAGAACUACACGUAGCCACAAUACCUGCUUUUUACAUCUAUUGAGUCUGGAUGGUGGAAGUCCUAGAGUACUCUGCUACUGUGCAUCUUUUCCCAACUCCAAGUUCAGUGACUUCCAGUUGACAGCUUGAAAGUGGACGUGGUGGCAAUAUUUACACCACAGAGGGAUCCUGUUUGGAAGGUCAGGGACAAUGACAACUGAGAAGAAAAGGCAGAAGUGGAGAAGAGUGAGUGAACGCUGGGAGCAUCCAGAAUCCUUCACCUUGAAUGAGACGACACGCUUCUGUACUGAGUUUAUCAAUCAGUUAUGGCCCAGGACUUAGGGUUAAUAUUUGGAACACAUACACUUGGGAAUUCUUCCUAAUGACAUGAAACUCUUAUUAGUCCUUACGAGAACCUACCUUCCUAAAUCCUCUUAUACAGUGAUGAGAGAACAGAGCCUAUUGUCAGCAAUGUCUGCUGGAGUACCUUUUGUCUCAUAGCUUGUAAUCACUUCCAGACCGGGGUAUAUUUAUGAUUUACAUAAUGUUAUAGAAGAAGAGGUCUUAAGGGUUUUUUCCUCUAAAUCUUUCUGAAUUAUUAUUUUAGACUCAUUGCCAGGUUUUUUUUUUCUUUUAAGGAGGAAGUUGAUGAACUUUUAAACAUGUCAUUACAUGCUCCGAAAUAGCAA